GGGGAAUAUUGCGCAAUGGGGGGAACCCUGACGCAGCAACGCCGCGUGAGUGAAGAAGGUCUUCGGAUCGUAAAACUCUGUCAUAGGGGAAGAAGGAGAUGACGGUACCCUAUGAGGAAGCCCCGGCUAACUACGUGCCAGCAGCCGCGGUAAUACGUAGGGGGCGAGCGUUGUCCGGAAUUACUGGGCGUAAAGGGUGCGUAGGCGGCUGAUUAAGUCAGAUGUGAAAUACCAGGGCUCAACCCUGGGGGUGCAUUUGAAACUGGCCAGCUUGAGUGCAGGAGAGGGAAGUGGAAUUCCUAGUGUAGCGGUGAAAUGCGUAGAGAUUAGGAGGAACACCAGUGGCGAAGGCGACUUCCUGGACUGUAACUGACGCUGAGGCACGAAAGCGUGGGGAGCAAAC
rnacentral:rRNA from 1 species